rnacentral:rRNA from 1 species
UACGUAGGUGGCAAGCGUUGUCCGGAUUUACUGGGCGUAAAGAGCGCGCAGGCGGUCGUGCAAGUCGCGUGUGAAAGCCCCCGGCUCAACUGGGGAGGGUCACGCGAUACUGAUCGACUCGAAGGCAGGAGAGGGAAGUGGAAUUCCCGGUGUAGUGGUGAAAUGCGUAGAUAUCGGGAGGAACACCAGUGGCGAAGGCGACUUCCUGGCCUGUUCUUGACGCUGAGGCGCGAAAGCUAGGGGAGCAAACAGG